rnacentral:tRNA from 2 species
GGGCCGGUAGCUCAGCGGUAGAGCACCCGACUUUUAAUCGAGUGGUCGUGGGUUCGAUCCCCACCCGGCCUACCA